CUAUAUGGGGCCUGCCAGAGAUUAAACUCAACCAAAUUUUAUUUAAUGUCAACCGAUUAUUUAAUAGUCAAAACUUUCAACAACGGAUCUCUUGGUUCUCGCAUCGAUGAAGAACGCAGCGAAAUGCGAUAAGUAAUAUGAAUUGCAGAUAUUCGUGAAUCAUCGAAUCUUUGAACGCACAUUGCGCCCUUUGGUAUUCCAAAGGGCAUGCCUGUUUGAGCGUCAUUUCUCCCUCAAACCCUCGGGUUUGGUGUUGAGCGAUACGCUGGGUUUGCUUGAAAGAAAGGCGGAGUAUAAACUAAUGGAUAGGUUUUUUCCACUCAUUGGUACAAACUCCAAAACUUCUUCCAAAUUCGACCUCAAAUCAGGUAGGACUACCCGCUGAACUUAAGCA
rnacentral:rRNA from 1 species